ensembl:lncRNA
ACAAAGUUGUGAUUAAAAACUUGACAGCAGAGGACUGCAGGCUUUACUUCUGUGGCAUCAACAAAAAAAAGAACAUUCAUUUUAUCGGCACGUUCCAUGUUGUGUCAUGUAAGCAGAAGUUUUUUCUUAUUAAAAAAACUGUAAAGUUUGCUUUUCUAAGAAAGACUUGCAAAAAUAAUUUGAUGAAAUUCCGAAGUGAUUCAUGUUGGAUAUUCACAUAAUUAUUUAAGAAAGUGACUGGAACAGCCUGCUACUAUCAUCUCUUCCUGACUUCAUCAAAGUUUCUGAAUUUAACUUCUCUGUGUGUUUUUUGUAUGUUUUAGAUUCUCAGUUCAUCUUCAUCUUUUGUCCCACUCUUUCUUUUCCAGAUUUCCCUCCAUCCUCUGUUUCAGGUCAUCAGCAACAGAACAGCUCCAUAUCAGAGUAUCAGCUGAUCAUCAUUUACCACUCAGCCUUCAUCCUUACCGCCCUCAUCCUUCUCAUACUGGUUGUGCUUUUUACGUCUCUGUGGGUGAAGACAAAAUCUCUCCAGGUGCGCAGCCCUCGACCUGUGACCAGCUUGAAUACAGAGACUCUACAGAGCGCCCAGGAUGAGACCCACUCCAACCCUCCAUAUCACUGAAGUGAUGUUGAAGAAGCAUUUUUCUCAUCAUUUAUGAUGAAUGUUAUUUCAUAAUGUAUUAAAAAUGUUAUAGUAUGAGAAAAUGAAGAUGAAGACACCUGAUCUGCUCACACGUUAAACUCAUGAUGAUCUUUGACUCUGUAUAUUAACCUUUUAAAACCGGUCGGAGCGGGCACGCUCCGUUUUGCGUAACUAUUUUUAAAUACAGGUGGUGUUCUGGGAAGAACAGGUGUUCUGGGAAUCCAUCCUACCUGACAAACCAUCCUACCCGUUGUUUCUGCGCAUGCGCACAACACGAAAUUAAGUGGCGAACCGUCCUACCUUUGUGAAUAUUAGCUAGAAAAAUACUCUGACGGGUGAAAUUAAGUGCCAAACCAUCCUACCUUUGUGAAUGUGACCUACAAGCAUACUUUAACAGCUACAAUUCAGUGGCAAAUCAUCCUACCUUUGUUAAUAAGAGCUAGAAAAAUACUCUGACGGGUGACAUUAAGUGCCAAACCAUGCUACCUUUGUGAAUGUUACCUAUAUCAUACCUACCUACUUUAAUUUGUGCUGGAAUUACUCUGUGACAGCAGAAAUGUGCAGAAACUACCUAAGGUAGGACGUUUUGCCAAAGUAGGAUGGUUUGUCAGAACAGGUGUUACUUACAUCUUAUGCCAUCAGCUUGUCCUAGGUGACGGUUUCCUUCCACAUAUAGCUUUGCAAAAAUUGCAUAAAAACCACUCGCAGCAACAAAAACAUAAUAUUCCAGAAACACGCUUUGCCGAUCUGAUCAGCUGUUCAUAACACUUCCUAUGUUGGAACAGAUCAUCAGCGCAAACUAUGAGAAGGGUCUGGCUGCAGCCACUGGGGACCGCCAUAUUGGAACCUCCACACUAACCGGAAACACGUGACCUCCACAGUAGCCGGAAACACAUGACCUCCACAGUAGGAAGAAAUACGUUCCUGCGUGCAUCAUCGACUGUGGAAACCUUGCAAGUGGAUCGUAAAGGUUGGGACAGCGUCAUUCAUGUAUAAAUUUGCCGUUAAUAAUUAUAUAAUUCUAGGAAUCAUCUAGUUUGCUUACACUGAUUAUGUUGGCACUUUGUUAGCGUUACAACAACGGUCAGACCCCCGAGGUAUAUAAACUUUAGUAAGGAUUGUGUGCACUUUUGUCACCUCUGGUUAGCAUUUAGUGGUCAGUUUCAAACGUAUUUGUUUUCUCCCUGUUAUUGAACAAAUUCACUUCACUACUUUUCACUAUCUGUAACAUCAAUGCACAUUGUUCCAUUUACUGCAUAUUGCACUUUAUUCAUGUCUUUCAUUCCACCUGCAAAAAUAUUGUAAAGUUUGUCACAAAGAGGUUUAUAUAUUUAUAAAUACUAAUAAGCUGAAGGGAUGAUGAUGUUUUUUUUAAUAAACCCAGAGUGUUAAAAAAACAACUUAAAACCAAAUUUAUUUAUCAGCAGCAUCACUAGUAACAAAACACAAUUUAGUUUUCGCUGUCAAAGUCGAUUUAACUGAAUUUACGUGUUUCCGGUUACUGUGGAGGUCGCAAUAUGGCGCUCCCCAGUGGCUGCAGCCAGGUGCUCUUGCAAACUAUCGCAUGUCCGCCAUUACCUGCCUGAAACCGGAAGUGACGUCAUUUUCGCGGAAAUGUAGUUUUUUACCUUUAGGGCCUCAUCAGCCUAAACUGGUGUUUUUAAAAGUUAUGUUUGACUUUAUGACUUUCUGAAUAGUUUCUGGGAUACGUUACUGGAAAUAGUUUAUUUUGAUGCACAUGCUGGGUUUUUUUGCAAAUUUACAUUAUAAUAUUUAUUUUCGUUUUUCCUGCAGUAUAUAAAAAUUGGUGUAUUUCAAAAAUAAAACUAUGAAUACACUCAAAAUAAA